CAACACAACACAAGCAUGGCCGCCGUAGCUCUCUUCUGGUCGGCUAUUUAACUACGCUCGACUCCCGCAAGUUCAAUUCAAUCGUGUUCAGUUCAUCAUCAAUCGAGGGAGCUGAAGCAGAGCACAGCUGCUCGGCGACCCAAAUCGGAGGACCCAUCGACACCACGCCGCCGGCCCCAGCCCCUGCCCCUGCCCCUUCUGGAUCAUCGCCAUGGUUGACGCCGACGACGAUACCUCCUCCUCCGGCUCCAACCACGUGGUGCUCACCGCCGACGAGAUCCGGUCCAUGUUCCCCGAGUAAGCCGGGCCAUCUGUGCAAAACCAAAACCUGAUCACCGGGCCAGAUCUGGAUGAGUUGGUGUUGGCGGCGGGGCAUGUGUACCUGUAUGAGCACGCGACCCUGGACGCCCUGCUGCGCGGCAACCGCUGGCUUGGCGCUGCCGAGUACCUGUCCAGGUCCCUGCUGCUCCACGACGACGACGACUCUGCAGGUCCAGCGCCCGCCGACGAGAUGCCGCGCGAGCACCCUGAGCUCAUCGUCCUCCUCCGCCGUCAGCACGCGCUGGAGCUGCUGGGUGACGGCAAGCGGGAGGCGGCGCGGCAGUACUACUACGACAAGAGCAUCUUCGCGCCGACACGCCUGGUCCACCGCACCCGCCACCUGGACGCCCUGCUCUCCGGCCUACGCGACAGCAUCAUCGCAGCAGCUGAUUCUGAUGGUGGCGAUCUGCUGCUGGACCUGCCUGCGGAGAGACGCACGACGUGACGUGCAGAGAUGUCCGGGACUACCUCAGGGUGUACUUUCCGGAGCUGGGCAGG